CUUUCCAUUUACCAUUUCACAUUUCUGCAUUGCCACUUUUGUUAAAAGUUUGUUUCCUCUGACUAGAAAACUACUGCUGUCAUUCUGCCUUUGUUCCUGCAUGAUGGAAUAGUAUGCUCUGGAGCUGCAACCAGGACCAGGACCAGGUCUCUUAAGGAGUCUUCUUUAUAUAAUACUGCUAAAUUGUGGCCUUUUUCCUCUUCGGUGCAACAUUACAUAAUAGGGAGUGAAAUGGACAGAAGCUUGAUUUCCUGCUAACGGUACCCCUGACUGCAAAACCACACCCAGACCGAUGACAGGACAGGAGCCAGACUGAAAAUGAG